rnacentral:rRNA from 1 species
GAUGAACGCUGGCGGCGUGCCUAAUACAUGCAAGUCGAGCGAACAGACGAGGAGCUUGCUCCUCUGACGUUAGCGGCGGACGGGUGAGUAACACGUGGAUAACCUACCUAUAAGACUGGGAUAACUUCGGGAAACCGGAGCUAAUACCGGAUAAUAUUUUGAACCGCAUGGUUCAAAAGUGAAAGACGGUCUUGCUGUCACUUAUAGAUGGAUCCGCGCUGCAUUAGCUAGUUGGUAAGGUAACGGCUUACCAAGGCAACGAUGCAUAGCCGACCUGAGAGGGUGAUCGGCCACACUGGAACUGAGACACGGUCCAGACUCCUACGGGAGGCAGCAGUAGGGAAUCUUCCGCAAUGGGCGAAAGCCUGACGGAGCAACGCCGCGUGAGUGAUGAAGGUCUUCGUAUCGUAAAACUCUGUUAUUAGGGAAGAACAUAUGUGUAAGUAACUGUGCACAUCUUGACGGUACCUAAUCAGAAAGCCACGGCUAACUACGUG